GCCGAGGUGGCGAAACCGGCAAACGCGGGAGACUUAAAAUCUCCUAGUCGCAAGACUAUGCGGGUUCAAGUCCCGCCCUCGGUACCA
rnacentral:tRNA from 1 species